rnacentral:tRNA from 1 species
GGUUGUAUAGUGUAGUGGUGAUCACAUCGGAUUCUGACUUUCCGGGAACCCCGGUUCGAUCCCGGGUACGACCU